rnacentral:rRNA from 1 species
UCUCGGCAACGGAUAUCAUGGCUCUCGCAUCAAUGAAGAACGUAGCAAAGUGCGAUACCUAGUGUGAAUUGCAGAAUCCUAUGAACCAUCGAGUCUUUGAAUGCAAAUUGCGCCCGAGGCCAUCCGACCAAGGGCACGCUUGCCUGGGCAUCACG